UACGUAGGGUGCGAGCGUUGUCCGGAAUUAUUGGGCGUAAAGGGCUCGUAGGCGGUUUGUCGCGUCGGGAGUGAAAAUCCAGGGCUUAACUCUGGACUGGCUUCCGAUACGGGCAGACUAGAGGUAUGCAGGGGAGAACGGAAUUCCUGGUGUAGCGGUGAAAUGCGCAGAUAUCAGGAGGAACACCGGUGGCGAAGGCGGUUCUCUGGGCAUUUCCUGACGCUGAGGCACGAAAGCCAGGGGAGCAAACGGG
rnacentral:rRNA from 1 species